GAACACGGAGUUGGCGCCAGGCAAGGAUCAGGUCUCGGUUGUAGCUGGGUCCCAGCUGGCUUGGCCCCGCCUAAGUGUAUGUGGCCUAUGGAGCCUGACCCCGCCUCCAUGGGAGCCUGGUUUAGCUUGGAGCUGGCUGGCUUGUCCCAGCAGCCCCUCCCUAGGCCCCUAGUCCAAAGCCUACUCCCUUUAGGCGCCCUGGCUACCAGCUCUGCUCCUCUAGCAUCAACCCACGGGGGCGAAACCCACUCCUCUCUUGUUCAAUGAGUUAGCUGUGUCUCAGAGGAAGCCACUUAUCCCAAAGUUGGUUGGAAGUUUCCUGGGUGACACAAAUAUUUGAAGUAACGCCUCUCCGUCCCGCCUGUGCUGGGCAAAUGGCUCUGCUACCAACCCACAGAACCACAGAAAAGGAAAAUGGCUGCAAACACCCCUAUCUUCCUAGUCAGAAGACUCUUUAAUACUUCUGUUUUGCCCUCUUAGCCUCACCCCACCUCCUGGAGAUGACUGAUAAAACCAGGCUAAGCUUCUUGAUUAAAGCCCCUGUCUAAACUG
rnacentral:lncRNA from 1 species